GCUGACGAGUGGCGGACGGGUGAGUAAUGUCUGGGAAACUGCCUGAUGGAGGGGGAUAACUACUGGAAACGGUGGCUAAUACCGCAUAACGUCGCAAGACCAAAGAGGGGGACCUUCGGGCCUCUUGCCAUCAGAUGUGCCCAGAUGGGAUUAGCUUGUUGGUGAGGUAACGGCUCACCAAGGCGACGAUCCCUAGCUGGUCUGAGAGGAUGACCAGCCACACUGGAACUGAGACACGGUCCAGACUCCUACGGGAGGCAGCAGUGGGGAAUAUUGCACAAUGGGCGCAAGCCUGAUGCAGCCAUGCCGCGUGUAUGAAGAAGGCCUUCGGGUUGUAAAGUACUUUCAGCGGGGAGGAAGGGAGUAAGGUUAAUAACCUUAUUCAUUGACGUUACCCGCAGAAGAAGCACCGGCUAACUCCGUGCCAGCAGCCGCGGUAAUACGGAGGGUGCAAGCGUUAAUCGGAAUUACUGGGCGUAAAGCGCACGCAGGCGGUCUGUCAAGUCGGAUGUGAAAUCCCCGGGCUCAACCUGGGAACUGCAUUCGAAACUGGCAGGCUUGAGUCUUGUAGAGGGGGGUAGAAUUC
rnacentral:rRNA from 1 species